rnacentral:rRNA from 1 species
UACGUAGGGUGCAAGCGUUAAUCGGAAUUACUGGGCGUAAAGCGUGCGCAGGCGGUUAUGUAAGACAGUUGUGAAAUCCCCGGGCUCAACCUGGGAACUGCAUCUGUGACUGCAUAGCUAGAGUACGGUAGAGGGGGGAUGGAAUUCCGCGUGUAGCAGUGAAAUGCGUAGAUAUGCGGAGGAACACCGAUGGCGAAGGCAAUCCCCCUGGACCUGUACUGACGCUGAGGAGCGAAAAGCGUGGGGGAGCGAACAGG